rnacentral:tRNA from 1 species
GGAGAUGUGCCAGAGUGGACGAAUGGGCUCGUUUCGAAAACGAGUGUAGCUUGAAAAAGUUACCAGAGGUUCGAAUCCUCUCAUCUCCGCCC